CCAUUUAUCCCUCCAAUUAUGUGUGAAAGCAAGGAGAAGGAACGAUUGACUGCUGGCUGUCUUCAUCAUCUCUGUCCAGCUUUGUUUCUUGAAGAUUGAAAGGAAUUGGAUUUGGACAAUAAUCAAUUGUGGUGAAUGGGGAUCAUGAGCGGUGAUUGGUGAAUACGAGAACUCCGAAGAACUUGUUUAGCCGCUUCAUUUUUUUUCCCUC